rnacentral:misc_RNA from 1 species
UGAAGGAGAUCAUUGCCGGUGCCCCAUUAAGGACAGACGUGCGCACGCGUUUCAGUACCCGGGGGUUCGCGGCUGCCGAGGCAGCCCGUCUCCCCGACGUGCCGGGGCGCAGCCGCCUCGUGCGGCGCCGUCCCGGCGCACCAACCAACCCCGGCGCGGAAUGCGCCAAGGAAACCUCAAACGAGCGGCGGGCCCUCUCGACCCGGAAGCGGGAAGCGAGCGGCCAGCGCCCUGAUAAGCGAGUCCACAAUGACUCUCGGCAACGGAUAUCUCGGCUCUUGCAUCGAUGAAGAACGUAGCGAAAUGCGAUACUUGGUGUGAAUUGCAGAAUCCCGUGAACCAUCGAGUCUUUGAACGCAAGUUGCGCCCGAAGCCAUUAGGCCGAGGGCACGCCUGCCUGGGUGUCACCAACUGCCAUCCCAACCCCAUCGCACCUCAGGGCCAUGGAGCGGGAGAACGCUGGCCUCCCGUGAGCUGCGUCUCGCGGUUGGUUGAAAGCUAAGUCAGUGCUGGCGUGCGGCGCCGUGACGCUUGGUGGAAGAGAUGUUCCUCGAGGCCAGUCACGGGGUGCCCCCUUCCGGUUCUGAAAGUACUCACCACUUGGGUCACCCAACGAUGCGACCUCAGGUCAGGCGGGGCCCACCCGCUGAGUUUAAGCAUAUCAA